rnacentral:rRNA from 1 species
UUACGAGUUGCAGAACUCCCACACUUGCGAACGUUAACCUCGUCGUUGCUUCGGCGGGCGGCCCCGGGGAGGGGCCUUUGCCGUACGGCGCCCGCCGGAGCCCCACUACGCUCCGUCUUCUCCAGGCCUCUCUGAGCACUAUGAUAAUAAGUCAAAACUUUCAACAACGGAUCUCUUGGUUCUGGCAUCGAUGAAGAACGCAGCGAAAUGCGAUAAGUAAUGUGAAUUGCAGAACUCAGCGAACCAUCGAAUCUUUGAACGCACAUUGCGCCCGCCAGUAUUCUGGCGGGCAUGCCUGUCCGAGCGUCAUUUCAGCCCUCAAGCUCCGCUUGGUGUUGGGGCCCCGCGGCUGCCGCGGGCCCCGGAAGGCAGUGGCGGGCUCGCCGGGGCUCCGAGCGCAGUAGCUUAACCUCGCUCGCGGCGCCCCCGGCUUGCGCCGGCCGUAAAACCCCCACACGCACAAGGUUGACCUCGGAUCAGGUAGGAAUACCCGCUGAACUUAAGCAUAUCAAUAAGCGGAGGAAAAGAAACCAACAGGGAUUGCCCCAGUAACGGCGAGUGAAGCGGCAACAGCUCAAAUUUGAAAUCUGCCCCCGGGCCGAGUUGUACUUUGCAGAGGAUGCUUUUGGCGCGGCGCCUUCCGAGUCCCCUGGAACGGGGCGCCACAGAGGGUGAGAGCCCCGUAUGGUUGGACGCCUAGCCUGUGUAAAGCCCCUUCGACGAGUCGAGUAGUUUGGGAAUGCUGCUCUAAAUGGGAGGUAAAUUCCUUCUAAAGCUAAAUACCUGCCAGAGACCGAUAGCGCACAAGUAGAGUGAUCGAAAGAUGAAAAGCACUUUGAAAAGAGAGUCAAAUAGCACGUGAAAUUGUUGAAAGGGAAGCGCUUGCGACCAGACUUGCGCCGGGCCGAUCAUCCGCCGUUCUCGGCGGUGCACUCGGCCCGGGGCAGGCCAGCAUCGGUUCUCGCGGGGGGAUAAAGGCCGUGGGAAUGUGACUCCUACGGGAGUGUUAUAGCCCGCGGCGCAAUACCCCCGCGGGGACCGAGGACCGCG